UACGUAGGGUGCAAGCGUUAUCCGGAACUAUUGGGCGUAAAGAGCUCGUAGGCGGUUUGUCGCGUCUGCCGUGAAAGUCCGGGGCUCAACUCCGGAUCUGCGGUGGGUACGGGCAGACUAGAGUGCAGUAGGGGAGACUGGAAUUCCUGGUGUAGCGGUGAAAUGCGCAGAUAUCAGGAGGAACACCGAUGGCGAAGGCAGGUCUCUGGGCUGUAACUGACGCUGAGGAGCGAAAGCAUGGGGAGCGAAUAGG
rnacentral:rRNA from 1 species